rnacentral:lncRNA from 13 species
GAACUGAGGUAUCUUACCCACAAGUGGGACAGGGUGCACGGGCCCAUAGGUUUGAUAAACUUCUAGUUAAAACAAUAACACUUCUACAGGCUGUUAAGACUGUAUGUGGGGGGUCCCACAGCAAAGUCCAAACUACCAGAAUCAACAAAAAGUGCUCAGUAGUGUUUGUAAAGGGUCACAGGUGGGUCCAAAUGUUCAGGAGCUGUGGCUAUAAAGCCCAAUAUAAGGCCUUGUUGUUGUGAGAAGAGACCACCACAGGAUCAACCUCUAAAUAUGUAUACCCUUAAAUAAAUAUAUACUAAAUCAAUAUUGUAAUUUAUUAAGUUAUAAGUGCUAAUAUAGGCAAAUCAAGAGUUAUGGUUAGGGUUACAGCUGGAGUUAUGGUUGGGUUGUGUGUGUGUGUGUGUGUGUGUGUCAGUUGACCUAUUUCCAAGCUAAACAAGGUUCCCUCACCACCUACCUCUCACUUCUCUCUCUUGCCUACACAGGUUAUGCCACCCCACAGGCUUCCUGGAACCCCCACUGUGAAAGAGAAGGGCUGAUCCCCAGUCCUCAAGGUCUAGCUACUCUCCUCCCAAGUCCACCCACCCCUCUGCCCCCCCCAACCACACCUANNNNNNNNNNUCCCCACUCCCAGACCCCGGCCCCAUGGCUGCAGGAGGCCAUGGCCCUGCCAAGGAUGUGUUGAUCAACCUGCAUCAGAUUAAUGUGAAAGAAGAGGAGGAGGAGGAUGAGGACUUUUCCACAGAGGAGCAGGAGAAGGACGAGGACUGGGAGAAUGCAUUAUCAGUGGAGAGGUUCGGGAACAUCAUCACUGACUCCGCGAUCAGCGGCGGAGAAAAAAUGGGCCCCAACUACAACGAGAAGGAUUUUGAGUGUAAGUCUUUAGUCUUCUUUAUCUUCUCUGCUUUUGUAGAACACAAAGUAAACAUUCCAUGAAUGUCUGCUUACUAGUGUUGUCAAGAUACUAGAAUUGUUAUUUCAGUACCGAUACCAGGUAUACUAUCACAAUACUUGAGACCAUUACCAUUACCUAAACGAUACCACAAAAAAAGCCUAAUUAGUGAAAGAAUGCCACUUGCUCCAGACAGAUAACCUCGGCUCCUACUCUGUUCAAUUGUUGGGCAUCUUGUGAGUUCAAUAUAAUUUAAUCUGAACAUUUUAUGUACUUGUUUGUAGUUGAGACAGCCAUGUAUGCAUUAAUUUGAUCAACUGUACAAUCAUCCAAUCAAUUUGACUUGGUUUUCACCCAUCUAACUACAUAACAUAAUGGUAAUUGUUUAUUUGAAUGGUAAAUCUCUAUUGAUAAACUGAGUAAAUCAAGAUGUAGACUAGGUCUAUUCACAAUACAGGUUAAUGCAUAUUAUUCAAUAGGAGUGUGUGCAUGCAUAUCAUUCAAUAGGAGUUUGUGCAUGCAUAUCAUUCAAUAGGAGUUUGUGCAUGCAUAUCAUUCAAUAGGAGUUUGUGCAUGCAUAUCAUUCAAUAGGAGUUUGUGCAUGCAUAUCAUUCAAUAGGAGUGUGUGCAUGCAUAUCAUUCAAUAGGAGUUUGUGCAUGCAUAUCAUUCAAUAGGAGUUUGUGCAUGCAUAUCAUUCAAUAUGAGUGUGUGUGCAUUGAGUUAUUCAGCAUGUUUUAGCUGAUAGCAUGGGGCAACAGAUGACAAAUGUUCCCUUUAAUGUAGGACUUAUUUUAUCGCCAACUGCUAUUAGAACAUAUUAUUUUAUUGAAGUGAUAAACAACAUUUGCAUAGAAGAAGCAAUCGCUUAUUUUAUAAAUGUGUGCGCUGUCUCUUUAAGAAAGUAAUAACUUAAUUUUCUAGGCAGAAAGUGGCUGUGGAAUCUGACUUUGUGGCUAUGGAAUCUAGUGGAAACCAGAUGAUAGGCAAGGGAGAUGAAAAAGUGAAUUCAUCUGUAGGAAAUUCAGCUGUUAGCUAGCAAGGAAAGUUUGCCUAUAAAGCUAGAAGCUACCGGUAUCUUCUUGCAUUGUAAAGUGUUCUAGCCUGUAGGAACAUUGUUUUGAGAACCGCAAUUAACAGGUUCCACAUGCUGUGUUGCAUUAUUUAAGUGUGUUAACUUCUGUGCAGAAUGAGUGGAGAGCUAAUGCAGCCCGGAGAGCUAAUGCAGCCCAGACUGCUCUAGCGAUGAAUGAGGUAGUGGAGCUCUUUACUGGUUAAAUGGAUUGCGCUCUGAGACAGACUUAAUCCUCUUGAUCACGUGAGACAACAUUUUAACAUAACAAAAAUUCUAGUACCGUUUUAUGAUUUUUUUUAAAUCGACAAAGUACCAAAGUUUCGUGCAACACUACUGCUUACCCAGUUUUUUGGGGGUGUUCUCCAUAGUUUUUGGAAUAUCAUUUUUUGCCAAAAGGAAUGUGUUUUGGCUUAAAUUAUAUUUUGGUAUCACUUAAAGGAAGUCUCCAUAUCAAACCAUUUCUGGGUAGCAUUUAAGUACCUUACUUUGAUUGUUUUCAAUUAAAAUGGUCAAAAAGAAAGACAUAGCUUCUUAACAAAGAGCAAUUUCUCAAGCAAGAAUUUUACUAGGACUGUCUGGUAGUGUUCUGAGUGGGAAGGGGGAAACAGGAAACUAACUUAUCGGCAGAGAGGUUUGGAAUUCUCUUUCUUAUUGUUUUAUUAACUAAUGUACUGCCUACUGAGGACAAAACUCCAUCCCACCAAAACAGGCUGAAAUUUCAGGCGGUCUUUUCAAACAGCUGUUACACUAAAAGGGCAUUAUCAUCAUUUUCACAAUUUCAUAAUAUUAAUCCAACCUCAUAGUGUGGAAAUAUACACUGAGCAAAAAUUAUAAACACAACAUGCAACAAUUUCAAAGAUUUUACUGAGUUACAGUUCAUAUAAGGAAAUCAGUAAAUUUAAAUAAAUUAACUAGGUCCUGGUUAGUCAUGGCCCUGCCUCCUGCUAGAACCUUCAUGGGUGUGGAAAUAUAUGUGUGUGGGAUAGGACUGUUCCUUCUCACUUCAUCUGACCUGACCUCGGCCGAAUUCCUUGCUCCUCCCAAAUCCACAACUGUCCUACCUUAUCAGUGACUGAAACCAGACCUCCAUAGGAUCCAUGAGAUGUAACGAUACAUUUUUUUAACAGAAUGUAAACUUUAUACCUCCCCCUUUCUCACUCAGUAACUUUCCAUAGACCUAGUUAUUAUCCACACUCCACUCCAACUCCAACACAUACAUUCCUUGGACAUGUAAAGCAAUCGAUAAAGGUCUAGUAUGGUAACAUGAAUUUGUAUAUUUCAAACUGGAAUCCAACAGCCCU